rnacentral:misc_RNA from 1 species
UUUCCGUAGGUGGACCUGCGGAAGGAUCAUUAAUGAGUUGUCAUGGGGUUCGAUGCUGGCAGCCAAUUUUUGGAUGCAUGUGCUUGCCCUAACAAUCAUCUUCCAAACACCUGUGCACAUUUUUGAGGGAGUCUUGAGUUGGUUGCCGCUCUUGGGUGAUUUUCUCACAUUCCCUUAAAUCAUUAUACGCUAUUAACAAUGUUGAACGUGCUCUGUGCCGCAAGGCUAUUAUUAUAAUACAACUUUUAACAACGGAUCUCUUGGCUCUC